GAUGAACGCUGGCGGCGUGCCUAAUACAUGCAAGUCGAGCGAACAGACGAGGAGCUUGCUCCUCUGACGUUAGCGGCGGACGGGUGAGUAACACGUGGAUAACCUACCUAUAAGACUGGGAUAACUUUGGGAAACCGGAGCUAAUACCGGAUAAUAUAUUGAACCGCAUGGUUCAAUAGUGAAAGACGGUUUUGCUGUCACUUAUAGAUGGAUCCGCGCCGCAUUAGCUAGUUGGUAAGGUAACGGCUUACCAAGGCGACGAUGCGUAGCCGACCUGAGAGGAUGAUCGGCCACACGGGAACGGAGACACGGCCCAGACUCCUAGGGGAGGCAGCAGUGGGGAAUCUUCCGCAAUGGGCGAAAGCCUGAGGGAGCCACGCCGCGUGGGUGAAGAAGGUCUUCGGGUCGUAAACCUCUGUUAUUGGGAAAGAAAAAAUGUAUAUUAAAAUCUCCCUGUUUUGACGGUACCUAAAGAAAAAGCACCGGCUAACUACGUG
rnacentral:rRNA from 1 species